rnacentral:lncRNA from 1 species
CCAUAUAAACAUAAAUUAUUAGCACAAACUAUAUCAAGUAAAUAUCAACAUAUUACUUCAGGGAAGAGCCCAGUAUUUAAUUCAGCUGUCAGAGACCAAAGACUCUUUCUGAAAAGCUGUUAAUUUACACAUACAUUGUUUUUUAUCCUUGCUUUUCAAGUGCAGUUUUCUAGAGUCUGUAACAAAUGUUGAAAACAAGAAACAAGAUGAUAACAUAUACUAAAUUUGGGUUAAUGUGUAAAAAUAAGUCUUAAAUCUGGUAUAUGUUACUUUGGGUCACAUAUCAAUAAGGUAUGUAUCUAUCUAUGGUUCUUAAAUUUCAUUGUUUAUUUGAAUCUGGUGCAUAUUUUAAAAAAAUUCCAUUGCCACAGUGAAUCUUAUCAACAUGCUCAUCCAUAAGAAAUUAAUUUAAAAAUAACCAUGAGUAAAUUGCAGAAAGAUCAAUAGAGGGAAGUGAGCAAGGUGUGGGAGAAAGGAAGGAGAAGGAAAGGUGUUGGGGACUGAAAUUGAACAAGGUAUAUUCCCUGCUUUUAUAGUUAUGGCAGAAUAAUUCUACUGUCCUAUAUAACUAAAAAGAACAAAUAAAAAAUAAUUCCAGUGUCAAGACACUAUAAGAUCAUUGAAGUCUGGAAAACUGAAAAUAGGAGACUGAAAUCAAUAUUUAUUUAAGCUACAAACAUGCAAUGAAGUUAGUGUUUAUCUUUGAAAAUCACUCAUAUUUAGAAUAAUUUUACUAAAUUAAUAGCAUUAGAUACAAUAAUACAUUGUGUAAAGUGCCAUGAACCUUUGAAAGUGUUAGUAAUCACUAUUCUGUCUUAAUAAUUGACACCCAAGAAAUAAUGACCAUCUUAUUCACACACAUACACACACACACACACACACACACACACACACCUUUUUUUAUCAUCUUAUAUAAAGCAGCAGGCUUUUGGUGAAAUUUCUAUGAAAGUAUUCUUCCUGUUUUAAAAAGAUACCUAUAAAUGAGAUAGAAUACUGUUUUUUCCUCUCUCUAUAUGUCUUCAGGUAACCUUUUUAAUUUAUUAUGCUUAUAUAGACAUAUAUGCAAAUGUAUAUAUUAUGUGUACAUCAGUUAUUUGGAUUGUCAUACACUAACGUGUUUAUUGAUGUGAUGUAUACACUUAAUGGGAAAACUAAACAGUACAAUUAUAAUACAACUGACAUUCUUCUUCUUCCUUACAGUUGCACACAAAGUCCUGUCUUAGACAUAAAAACCAAUUUACAAUACUUUUUUCUUUAAUUUUAAAAUUACUACUUUAUACCUUGAUUUCUUGCUAUGGUGUAUGAGUAUCUAAUGGUUUACACUAAUUAUACAUCUUCUUCUCUUCUUAUGUUAUCAUUCAUUCACAUUUCUAUUUUUUUUACUUUUCUCAUAUUUUUAAAUUUGUUUUAAUUAGUUAUAUAUGAAUUCACUUUAAUAUAUCAUAUAUAAUAGAUUAUAAUUUCUCAUUCUUCUGGUUAUACAUGGUGUAGAAUCUCACUGGUCAUAUAGUUAUAUAUGUACAUAAGGCAAUAAUGUUUGAUUUUUAAAAACAAGUUGAGUACCCCUAAUAUAUAAAGUUUGUAAUGCCACAAAAUCAGUAAACUCUUUGGAAAAAUCCACACCAGACAUCGAGUAACAGGUCACAGUCAAAAAGCAGGAACACUGAGAGUAUUUUGUAAAAUCAUUUUCAUGCUAUGCAUUUAAGGUAUAUAUGAAACAAAAUGAAUUUCAAAAUUAAACUUGGAUUCUCUCCCUAAGACUUUUUAUUAUGUAUGUAUAUGUGAAUACUCCAAAUGACAAAUAUAAACAGAUUAAAAAAAUGCUUAAAGUUCCAAACACAUCUGGCCCAAAGUAUUUUGGAGGACAAAUAUACAAAAUCUAUAUGUAAUAUGCUGACACUAUCAACAGGCUGCAGUUAUUUCACAAAUUAUAUACAUCACGUACAUGAUGAUACAAUGAUUCCUGGACUUGGCUUUAGAAGGCAUUCAGCUGGAUUAUGUGCUUGGGUGACCUUCAUCACUGUUCCCUUUGAUUAUGUAACCCAGACAUCUAAAUAUAUUUCUUCUAAAAUGUUACAUAUUUUUCCAUGAAUAAGUACAGUUGUGACCACAGUGUCUGACUAGCCAUUGAAUGUUCUGCUUUGAUUGUAUUCAUGAUUAAAAUCUCCAAAGAGUAUUUUUUUUUCUUUUUCUUUUCCACUUUUGUUUAAUUAGCCCAUUAUAUUUUUACAUCUUGAUGGGAUUCAUUCUUACAUAUCCAUACAUGCACACAAUACAAAAAUUCAAUUUGGCCAAUAUCACUCCAAAGCACUUACCUAAACUUUUUCUUUCAUUUAAAAAAAAAAUAUUCUGGCUGGGGAUGUGGCUCAAGCGUAGCGUGCUCGCCUGGCAUGUGUGCGGCCCAGGUUCAAUCCUUAGCACCACAUACAAACAAAGAUGUUGUGUCUGCCAAAAAAAAACCCUAAAAAAUAAAUAUUAAAAAAAUUCUCUCUCUCUUUCACUCUCUCUUUAAAAAAAUUAUUCUAAUUUGUUAUAUAUGACAUCAGAAUGCAAUUCAAUUCAUAGUACAUAUAUUUAGCACAAUUUUUCAUGUCUCUGGUUGUACAAAGAAGAGUCACACCAUUCAUGUCUUCAUACAGGUAAUUGGGGUAAUGAUGUCCAUUUCAUUCCACUGUCUUUCCUAUGCCCCUACUCCCUCUCUUCUCCUCCCUCCCCUUUGCUAUAUCAAAAUUUCCUCCAUUCCUCCCAUGCCCCCUGCCAUCUGCUUUAUGAAUCAGCAUCCUCAUAUCAGAAAAAAACUUUCACCUUUUGGAUUGAGGGAUUGGCUUACUUAUCAUAAUAUUUCUACAGCUCCAUCCAUUUACCUGCAAAUGUCAUUAUUUUAUUCUAUUUUAAUGCUGAGUUAAUAGUCCAUUGUGUAUAUAUACACCACACUUUCUUUAUCCAUUCAUCUACUAAAGGUCAUCUAGUUUGGUUCCACAAUUUAGCUAUUGUGAAUUGUGCUGCUAUAAACAUUGAUGUGGCUGUGUUAAUAUAGUAUGCUGUUUUUUAAGUUUUUUGGGUAUAAACCAAGAAAUGGAAUAGCAGGGUCAAAUGGUGGUUCCAUUCUAUUUUUUCCAAAGAAUAGCCAUACUGUUUUCAGAUUCGUUGCACCAAUUUACAGUCCCACCAGCAAUAUUUGAGUGUGCCUUUCUCCCAACAGCCUCGCUAAAACUUAUUGUUGUCUAUAUUCUUAAUAGCUGCCAUUCUGACUGGAAUAAAAUCUUAUAGUAAUUUUGAUUUGCAUUUCCUAAUUACUAGAGAUCUUGAAAUGUUUUUAUAUAUUUAUUGAUUGGGUUAUUUGGUUUUUGUUUUUAAGAUUUUUUAUUUCUUUAUAUAUCCUAGAAAUUAGUCCUCUGAUGUGCAUGUGGUAAAAAAUUGCUUCCACUCUGUAGGCUCUCUAUUCACCUCUCUGAAUAUAUAUUUUUCUGAGAAGAAGCUUUUUAAUUUUGAUCCAUCCCACUUAUUGAUUCUUUAUUUUGUUUCUUAUGCUAUAGGAGUCUUAUUAAAGGAAUUGGGGCCUAAUCACACAUGAUGAAGAUUUGGUCAAACUUUUUUUUUUUUUUUCCUAUUAGGCUCAGGGUCUCUGGUCUAAUUCCUAGGUCCUUGGUCCACUUUGAGUUGAGUUUGUGCAUGGUGAGAGAUAGGGUCUUAAUUUCAUUUUGUUGCAUAUGGAUUUCCAGUUUUCCCAGCACCAUUUGUUGGAGCUGUUAUCCUUUCUCCCAUAUUUGUUUUUGGCUCCUUUGUCUAAUAUGAGAUAACUAUAUUUAUGUGGGUUUGUCUUUAUGUCCUCUAUUCUGUACCAUUGGUCUACAUGUCUUUUUGAUACCAAUACCAUGCUGUUGUUGUUACUAUUGCUCUGUAGUAUAGUUUAAGGUCUGGUGUAGUGAUGCCACCUGCUUUGCUCUUCUUACUAAGGACUGCUUUAGCUAUUCUAGGUCUCUUUUUAUUUUCCAGAUGAAUUUCAUGACUGUUUUUCUAUUUUUAUGAGGAAUGUUAUUGGGAUUUUGAUUGUAAUUACAUUAAAUCUCUAUAGUACUUUUGGUAGUAUGGUCAUUUUGACAAUAUUAAAUCUGCCUAUCAAAAGAAAAAGGGAGAUCCAUCUUUUAAGGUCUUCUUUAAAUUAUUUAUUCAGCAUUUUGUAGUUAUCCCUGUAGAGGCCUUUCACUUCUUUCAUUAACUUGAUUCCCAAAUAUUUUAUUUUUACUUUUUUGAGGCUAUUGUAAAUGGAGAAGUUUUCUUAGUUUGUCUUUCAGAAGGCUUAUCAGUGAUGUACAGAAAUACUUUGAUUUAUUGGUGUUUAUUUUAUAUCUUGCUCCUUUGCUGAACUCAUUUAUUAGUUCUAGAAGUUUUCUGGUGGAAUUUUUUGGAUCCUCUAGGUAUUGAAUCAUACUGUCAGGAAAUAGUGACAAUUUGAGUUCUUUUCCUAUGUGUAUCCCUUUAAUUUCUUUCAUAUUUCUAAUUACUCUGGCUAGAUUUUCAAGAACUAGUUAAAUAGUAGUGGUGAAAGAGGGUAUUCCUGUCUUGUUCCAGUUUUUAGAGGAAAUUCUUUGACUAUUUCUCCAUUUUGAAUGAUGUGGGCCUGGGGCUUAGCAUAGAUAGCUUUUAAAAUGUUGAGAUAUGUUCCUGUUAUCCCUACUUUUGCUACUAUUUUGAACAUGAAGGGUGCUUUAUUUUGCCAAAUGCUUUUUAUGCAUCUAUGCAGAUUAUCAUAUGAUUCUUGUCUUUAAGUGUAUUGAUGUGAUGAAUUAAAUUUAUUGAUUUCCAUAAGUUGAACCAACUUUGCAUCCCUGGGAUGAACCCCACUUGAUCAUGGUGAACUACCAUGAACUAUCUCUUUGCUAUGUUUUUGUAUUUGAUUUGCCAGAAUUUUAUUGAGAAGUUUUCUAUCUAUAUUCAUUAGAGAUAUUGGUCUGAACUUUUUUUCUUUGAUGUGUCUUUUCCUGGUUUUGGAAUCAGGAUGAUAUUAGCCUCAUAAAUGAGUUUGGAAGUGUUCUCUCUUUUUAUAUUUCAUGAAUUAAUUUGGGGAAUAUUGGUAUUAGUUCUCCUUUGAUGGUCUUGUAAAACUCAGCUGUGUAUCCAUCUGUUCCUGGGCUUUUCUUGGUUGGUAGGCUUCUGAUGACAUGUUAUAUUUCAUUGUUUGAAAUUUAUCUGUUUAAUUUGUAUAUAUCAUCCUGAUUCAAUUGGGGAAAACCAUAUGAUGCUAGAAAUUUAUUGAUGUCCUUUAUUUUACUGUGAAUAUAAUUUUCCUAAAUAAUUUCUAAUUAUCUUCUGUAUUCUGUAGUGUCUGUUGUGAUAUUUCCUUUUUUAUUACAUAUGUUAGUAAUUUGAGUUUUCUCAAUGCUUCUCCUCAUUGCCAUGGGUAAGUGUUUAUCAUUUUUACUUAUUUUUUUAAAGAAUUGACUUUUUAUUUUAUCAAUUUUUUAUUGUUGGUUCCAAUUUUAUUGAUUUAGCUCUGAUUUUAAUUAUUUCUCAGUCUUAUAUUGCUUUUGGUAUUGAUUUAUUCUUCUGUUUCUAGGACUUUGAGGUGUAACCUUAGGUCACUUAUUUGUUGACUUCUUCUUCUUUUGAGGAAUGAACUCCAUGCAACAAACUUUCCUCUUUGGACUGCCUUUACAGUGUCCCAGAAAUUUCAAUAUGUUGUAUCAGUGUUCUCAUUUACCUCUAAGAAUUUUUUAAUCUCCUCUUUGAUGUCUUUUGUAAUCCAUUGUUCAUUCAAUAGCAUGUUACUUAGUCUCCAAGUUUGGGAGAAGCUUCUAUUUUUCAUUUUAUCAUGGAUUUCUCAUUUCAUUCCAUUAUAAUAUUAUAGAAUGCAGGGCAGUAUCUCUAUUUUUUUUGUAUUUACUAUGAGUUGCUUUGUGGAAUAAUAUAUGGUCCAUUUUAGAGAA